rnacentral:lncRNA from 1 species
UGAUAAGUGCUAGAUGUUCAUGACAACUUUGAAGAAGGAUGCUCGAUAAUGGAUGAUAACAUUAGCUCCGAACUCAAUCUCGUCGUGGAAAGAACUCUAUGAUAAGUUCCACGUCAGAUUCGGUGGCAACAAGAGGAGAGAAAAACCAACUGGGUUGUUAGCCCAGAUCAAGCAAUACUCAAAUGAGACUGUAGGACAAGUUAUAGAUUUAAAUGAUCCUUAGGUCCUUGGACUAUUUCAAAAUGGUUUAGGUGUCGUGAAAGCAAAGAAGCUGGUAAAAAAAAUUUGAUGUUCAACCAUCUAAAGGAUCUAGCCGAAGUUUUUGAUAUAGCCGAAGGCUUUAU